AUGGAGCCCUGUUCUCGGGCUCGCGGACGAGGGAGCAGUACCCGCACCGGACAAGACUGACUCAGG
rnacentral:ncRNA from 1 species